rnacentral:rRNA from 1 species
UCCACGCCGUAAACGAUGACGACUAGCUGUCGGGGCUCUUAGAGUUUCGGUGGCGCAGCUAACGCAUUAAGUCGUCCGCCUGGGGAGUACGGCCGCAAGGUUAAAACUCAAAGGAAUUGACGGGGGCCUGCACAAGCGGUGGAGCAUGUGGUUUAAUUCGAAGCAACGCGCAGAACCUUACCAGCGUUUGACAUGGUAGGACGACUUCCAGAGAUGGAUU